AUUGAACGCUGGCGGCAGGCCUAACACAUGCAAGUCGAGCGGAGCGGCGGACGGGGGAGUAAUGCCUAGGAAUCUGCCUGGUAGUGGGGGAUAACGUCCGGAAACGGGCGCUAACACAGCACAAUAUCAGGUGAGGCUGGGACGGAUUAGCUAGUUGGUGGGGUAAAGGCCUACCAAGGCGACGAUCCGUAACUGGUCUGAGAGGAUGAUCAGUCACACUGGAACUGAGACACGGUCCAGACUCCUACGUGAGGCAGCAUUGGGGAAGAUUGGACAAUGGGCGAAAACCUGAUCCAGCCAUGCCGCGUGUGUGAAGAAGGUCUUCGGAUUGUAAAGCACUUUAAGUUGGGAGGCGUUACCAACAGAAUAAGCACCGGCUAACUUCGUGCCAGCCGCCGCGGUAAUAC
rnacentral:rRNA from 1 species